rnacentral:rRNA from 1 species
GUGGGGAAUAUUGGACAAUGGGCGAAAGCCUGAUCCAGCCAUGCCGCGUGUGUGAAGAAGGUCUUCGGAUUGUAAAGCACUUUAAGUUGGGAGGAAGGGCAGUAAGUUAAUACCUUGCUGUUUUGACGUUACCGACAGAAUAAGCACCGGCUAACUUCGUGCCAGCAGCCGCGGUAAUACGAAGGGUGCAAGUGUUAAUCGGAAUUACUGGGCGUAAAGCGCGCGUAGGUGGUUUUGUAAGUUGGAGGUGAAAUCCCCGGGCUCAACCUGGGAACUGCCUCCAAAACUGCAUGACUAGAGUACGGUAGAGGGUAGUGGAAUUUCCUGUGUAGCGGUGAAAUGCGUAGAUAUAGGAAGGAACACCAGUGGCGAAGGCGACUACCUGGACUGAUACUGACACUGAGGUGCGAAAGCGUGGGGAGCAAACAGGAUUAGAAACCCCAGUAGUCC